rnacentral:rRNA from 1 species
CAGUAGCCACGGUAAUACAGAGGGUGCGAGCGUUAAUCGGAUUUACUGGGCGUAAAGCGUGCGUAGGCGGCUUUUUAAGUCGGAUGUGAAAUCCCUGAGCUUAACUUAGGAAUUGCAUUCGAUACUGGGAAGCUAGAGUAUGGGAGAGGAUGGUAGAAUUCCAGGUGUAGCGGUGAAAUGCGUAGAGAUCUGGAGGAAUACCGAUGGCGAAGGCAGCCAUCUGGCCUAAUACUGACGCUGAGGUACGAAAGCAUGGGGAGCAAACAGGAUUAGAUACCCCAGUAGUCCCUGUCUCUUAUAC